rnacentral:lncRNA from 1 species
CAAUUUUUAAUUGUUAUACAUAAAUUCUCUUAAUUAUUGGAAUCUAAUACAUAUAUUACUUUCCAUCCAUUUUUCCAUUAAAGUAUGUCAUGGGCCUCUCAUGUGGAAGGAUAUUUUUGUCACUUCACUUCCUAUAGAACGAUGAUCAUAUUAGAAUGUGUGAUUCAUUCAUAUGAUGUGACUUUUUUAUAAAAAAAAAAGAAGAAAAGAAAUUCUACACUAGCUAAUUUUUAUUUUAAUCACAUGAGGAAGUUAAACUUAAGAAAGAGUACAGUGGCUCUAAGUUCAAACUAAUUUAGCUAAAUUCAAAUUUGCGAUGACGUGAUGUGAUUUAUUGUGAUCGCCUCAACAUUUAUGUUAAUGGUUAUGAGGUCUGUGUUUCCUGAACUUGACAUGCCGACAUAGAAGAAACAGCUCCGCGUAAAAGCUUGGAAGGAGUUAUGCAUGCAUCAGUUAUGUUUGGCCUUUCGAGCACUCAUAACUCGUGGGGUAAUAUUACAAGGAAUUGGUCCCGGCCAUUUCGGCGCCGUGAGCGACUUGAUUUACACAGCCACUUGUCUUUUCUUGCUUUCUUUUCCAGCCGCGCCAUGUCUUGUAUUGUCUCAAUAAGGACUAUGAAAUCGAUGAUGCUGACAUGAUAUUAGAACUAUAGCUAAUUAGCAUCAUGCAUACUUUAUAUAUAUUUUUUUACUUGAAUCAUAAAAACAUUACAAAUUUAAUUGUCGAUGAAGAAUUUGAGUUAUGAUUGACCUUACUCUUUCAUUUAUUUUGUUGUAGCGUAUAGAAUUUGCUUUAAUAUUUUGAACAUAAGUACCUUUGGACUUUUUUUCAUGCCUAUUACUGUAAAAUUGAUAUCAUUUUCUUCAAUAAAACUUACAAUUCAUGAUAAAUUAGCUCUUAGUUUAACUCCUUGCCCUUUAUUUUCGCCCCUAAUGGAAAUUAAUAGGGUGAAAACUUUAUAUCGGCCUCAAAUCCACCACCCCUAAUAAUCACUAUUCUUUUAGUGUUCAAGGAGGUUAAGCUAGCACAUAGAUUUGGAUGUUGAAACCAUGGGACGGAGCAUGUUAAGCCUAAUAAUCAGGAUGAUUUAAUUUAUUAAUGAAUCUAGCCGACAGUUAACUGCUUCAAAUGAUCAGAGAAUAUGUCCAUAUGCCUGUCACAGUAUCAAGUGUUCAUCAAUCAUUAGGAAAGUCAGAUUGUUCAAAUUAAAAACUGUUCAUCUUACUAAAAACAGAAAAAUAGGGCAAGAUUUUUCAUUUAUUCAAUUUGGAUUGAUAGAGAUAAUUCAACUGCCAAAUAAUCUAAAAAUUAAUUAUACGAUAUAUUAUCCAUUUUCUUCUUAAAGUUUCCCUUUUGGAUGAUCAAUCAUUUUAUUAUGUUACGCAUCAGAUGUAUAUCUUCAAACUUCCAACAUAUUUUACAGACGAUUGUUGGUCAUAUACACCUCUUACGUAUGUUCAUAGUUCACACACACAUGCACAAAGAGAAUUUUAUGAAAAUAAAAAAACAUAAACAAUUCCCAAAUUUCAAUUUUCAAUUUUUUUUAUAAAUUGUUAUUAUAUAAUAUCAGUCCAAACUUCUAUCAAAUUUUUAGCAUUAUAUUUAUUCGUACCAUAAGGACAAAUCAACACGUUGGUACCAUCUUGGUUUUGUCCACGCUUAUUAUUAUUACUUCAAUGCCACUUGUCAAUAUUGUGAUUUAUUUAUGAAGAUAGUUUCUCUUUUCGGUAUGAGGCCCUACAUUUCCAACUUCUUCCGUUGAUCAUCUAGUUUAUCUUUUCAGGCUUAAAGACACAAAAAUCAAACACACUUCUAAAAUAAAAUCAGAUAAAUACAAGUAGAAAACCUUUUUUUUUAAAGAAGCUGGGGUUGCUCAAUGCCCUAGUUGAUCAUCUUGCAUGCCCCUUUUGUUUUAAAGUGUGUUUAUACCAU